rnacentral:rRNA from 1 species
UACGUAGGGAGCGAGCGUUGUCCGGAAUUAUUGGGCGUAAAGGGCGCGUAGGCGGUGCGGUAAGUCACCUGUGAAAUCUCCUGGCUCAACUGGGAGCUUGCAGGCGAAACUGCCGUGCUGGAGUGUGGGAGAGGUGCGUGGAAUUCCUGGUGUAGCGGUGAAAUGCGUAGAUAUCAGGAGGAACACCUGUGGCGAAAGCGGCGCACUGGACCACAACUGACGCUGAGGCGCGAAAGCUAGGGGAGCAAACAGG